UCUGUGGGUAACACCACAUGCACACCCUGAAGCAACUGUGGGUGAGUCUGUGCUGCAGCAGGCACACAUCUGAAGAAGCUGUGGCCUGUUGGUAAGUGUGCACCAGAAUGGAUAGACCUUGAAGCAUCUGUGGCUGUGGAUAAAUCCAUGGCAUAGUAGGCAGACCUCUGAAGGGAUUGUGGCUCGUGGAUAAGGCCAUGCCAGAACAGGUAUACCUCUAAGGGACUGUGGACAAUGGACAAGCCUGAGCUGCAGCAGGUGCAAGGGGAGGAGUUGAUCGCAACAUUUAACACCAUGGCCUGGUCUGAAAAGACCAGGAGUGGAGAUUGUGAUGGAUAUGCCUUUAACUGUUGUAAAGCAUGAUCCGAGUCAUGUUAUAGGAAGUCCUAAAGCAGGAACCUCCUGAACCAUCAGAGGACGAGCCUCACAAGAAGCAGCGCAAGUACAACAGUGACACAACCUGACCUGGCUUUGGUGUCCAGAAAGUCGAUGUAACAUACUGUUUCUCCUGUCCUGAGCAACCACCCUAACAAAUCUAAGUCAUGGACUAAACGAACCCAGUGGACAUUUCAUGGACAUUUCACAGGGGGCGUCCACAAACAA